CAAGCGGUGGAGCAUGUGGUUUAAUUCGACGCAACGCGAAGAACCUUACCAGGGCUUGACAUCCCCUGACCGCGUAUGAAAGUACGUUUUCACCUCGGGUGACAGGGAGACAGGUGGUGCAUGGUUGUCGUCAGCUCGUGUCGUGAGAUGUUGGGUUAAGUCCCGCAACGAGCGCAACCCUCAUUGUUAGUUACUACCAUUCAGUUGAGGACUCUAAUGAGACUGCCAACGAUAAGUUGGAGGAAGGUGGGGAUGACGUCAAAUCAUCAUGCCCUUUAUGACCUGGGCUACAAACGUACUACAAUGGCCAAUACAAAGAGAUGCGAAGCGGUGACGUGGAGCGAACCUCAGAAAGUUGGUCUCAGUUCAGAUUGAAGUCUGCAACUCGACUUCAUGAAGGCGGAAUCGCUAGUAAUCGCGGGUCAGCAGACCGCGGUGAAUACGUUCCCGGGUUUU
rnacentral:rRNA from 1 species